rnacentral:lncRNA from 1 species
GAAACAGUGACUUAGAUAGAGUGCCCCUUUAAAGAGGUUUACUAUACAAAGAAAGAGAGAAAGGGAACUAAUAGAAAAAAGGGGGGCUCUGGUAUCAAAAGAAUGUUUCUUUUCUUUUAUAAAGGAAAUUGGAUACCAGCAUGCCAGGAUGGAGAUGGUUUGAACAGAGAAUGUAGGACAUAAAGAAGUGUACAGAGCAGAGAAACUUCAUCUACUUUAAUAAAAAUGGGAUAUGGAGAUGGAGAUGGGUCCUACCCUCGAGCCCACCCACAAAUGAUUGUGUCUAGUAUUGUAUAUCUGCUCAACAAACAAGAGAUCCAAGUGGGAAGAAGAAGCAAGCAUGGACUUGGCAUCUGAUUGUGGUCUGGCUCAGUGCAAUAUUAUUAGUGCCAACUGGAAAGGAAACCACCACCGAGAUCCAUCACAACAUGUGCUAUCGCGAGUUGUAUAUUGGGGAUGGAUCUGCCCCUGGCCAGAGGAGAAUAUGCCAAGGAAUCCUCAG